UGACGAGAUUUCUCGUCGAGGUGAAAAGAGUGACAGACAAGACGAAACAAUAUGUAAACAUUGUAAGAAAAAAAUGCCGU